UGGUGCUUGCAUCAUGAUUUACAUUUGAGUGAGUGGCGAACUGGUGAGUAACACGUGGGAAACCUGCCCAGAAGCGGGGGAUAACACCUGAGAAACAGAUGCUAAUACCGCAUAACAACUUGGACCGCAUGGUCCGAGCUUGAAAGAUGGCUUCGGCUAUCACUUUUGGAUGGUCCCGCGGCGUAUUAGCUAGAUGGUGGGGUAACGGCUCACCAUGGCAAUGAUACGUAGCCGACCUGAGAGGGUAAUCGGCCACAUUGGGACUGAGACACGGCCCAAACUCCUACGGGAGGCAGCAGUAGGGAAUCUUCCACAAUGGACGAAAGUCUGAUGGAGCAACGCCGCGUGAGUGAAGAAGGGUUUCGGCUCGUAAAACUCUGUUGUUAAAGAAGAACAUAUCUGAGAGUAACUGUUCAGGUAUUGACGGUAUUUAACCAGAAAGCCACGGCUAACUACGUGCCAGCAGCCGCGGUAAUACGUAGGUGGCAAGCGUUGUCCGGAUUUAUUGGGCGUAAAGCGAGCGCACGCGGUUUUUUAAGUCUGAUGUGAAAGCCUUCGGCUCAACCGAAGAAGUGCAUCGGAAACUGGGAAACUUGAGUGCAGAAGAGGACAGUGGAACUCCAUGUGUAGCGGUGUAAUGCGUAGAUAUAUGUACGUACACCAGUGCCGAAGGCGGCUGUCUAGUCAGUAUCUGACGCUGAGGCUCGAAAGUAUGGGUAGCAAACAGGAUUAGAUACCCCGGUAGUCCUUUCUGUAAACGAUGCAUGCUAAGUGUUCGAGGGGGGCUGGCCUUCAGUGCAACAAAUAAAGCAUUAAGCAUUCCCCCUGGGGAGUACGGCCGCAAGGCUGAAACUCAAAGGAAUUGACGGGGGCCCGCACAAGCGGUGGAGCAUGCGGUUUAAUUCGAAGCUACGCGAAGAACCUUACACAGGUCUUGACAUACUAUGCAAAUCUAAGAGAUUAGACGUUCCCUUCGGGGACAUGGAUACAGGUGGUGCAUGGUUGUCGUCGAGCUCGCGUCGUGAGAUGUUGGGUUAAGUCCCGCAACGAGCGCAACCCUUAUUAUCAGUUGCCAGCAUUAAGUUGGGCACUCUGGUGAGACUGUCCGGUGACAAUCCGGAUAAUUUUUUUCAUAACGUCAAAUCAUCAUGCCCCUUAUGCCCUGGGCUACACACGUGCUACAAGGGCUAAUUGAACGAGUUGCGAACUCGCGAGAGUAAGCUGUUCUCCUUCCAGUCAUUGUCAGUUUGGAUUGUAGGCUGCAACUCAGCCCGCAUGAAGUCGCAAUCGCUA
rnacentral:rRNA from 1 species